UUGAUUUUUUAUGACUAAUAAUGAUUGCUACAGCCUUUCCCUCGGUAAUUCUGCUACCUCCAGGAUCCAAAGGAAGUCAAGUUGAUUACAAGUGACGAACCAUUCUUCUCAUUCAGAUUAUACUAACCUCUCCACAUCAGCUGUCCCAGUGCUUGGAGGGCUCUGCUGCGGUAUAUGGAAGCGGAGACUGAGACAUGAACCGUAGGGGAGACGGGGCUGCUCCUGGACAGAAUCGCCAUCCUCAUUCCCAUCGCCGUCACACCGGGGCUUUCUACAAAUUUUGAAGGACUGCUCGGCUUCCAGCUUCGGAAACACGGAUUUCCAGGUCUGUUCUGGGGACCGUUUGGGAACGUGGAGAGGAGUGGACGCCAGUUGGCAGCUGUGAUUCGUUCCCCAGCCCUGUCUCUGGCGU
rnacentral:lncRNA from 1 species